GUGUUGGUAGCUCAGUUGUAGAGUGCAUGCUUUUGUAUAUCUGUUGUCCUGGGUUCAAUACCCAGCUUCUCCC